GGGGUUUAUGCACAGGGAGGUAAAGACUUUGCAGGGCUAUGUCUAGGCUGCUGGCACAGAAAUACACAGCAGUGUCACCUGUCUCCAGGAAGUUGAUGUGAAGGUUUAAACGAGUUUUGUCAGGGGAUUCAGGUAAGAAGCAUCUUGGAACUGUUUCAUUUAGAAUGAGAUCCUUAUUGUUGUAGAUAAACAUGACCUUCAGCAAUUUCUGGGAGUCCUGCUUAUACCAGUACAUGGUAUCGUGGCCCAGCUUUUGUUCACAUUUUAGGAACUUCUUAUUUCCCGUCUGUGCGAUGAGGUGUUUUGGAGUCUGGGAAACUGCCGUGUCCAGGGGGGCUGAGAAGGAAAGGAGCGGAAUUCAGACAAGUCCCAGGAGAGAGACAGUGGCUGGACACAUGCUGAGUAGGCUUAGAGACCCAACGGGGCAUCUUGCCACCUGGACCGAGGACUCACCUGCUCCCAGGAGGCAGAGGACCAUACAGCAGAAGAGCGUGGAGCCCAUGGUGGAGACAGACACAGUCCUAGCCAAGCAUUCUCAUCCUCAGUGGUGUGCUGCUCCGCUGACUCUGUUGGGAUCUGGCUGCAAAGGGAAAGAGAGGAGCACGAAGUGAAUUCUGACAGCGACAUAAUUUAGUUUGUUUAACACUUCAUCAAAACUCUUCUAUGUGAAUCAAAGGUUGUGUUAACUUCUCUUUGAAAGACCCUCCCCCCGUCGUUAACUAAUUAACUGCUCUUUUGUUGUGUAAAAGUACCCCUCCUCCCCUUGCAAUGAAAAGACCCUUCCCCCAGGGUUGAAUUCAAUGUAACUGCUCUUUUGCCUUUCUGUAACAGCUUGGCUUUUAGGGCAUGACACUCGACUCCUGUUUGAACAAGAUACCCUCUCCUAAUAGCCGGGGCAUGGUCCCGUAGGUCACGUAGGCAAGGGGGCUGCAUGGUCACACAGGUCACGUAG
rnacentral:lncRNA from 1 species